rnacentral:rRNA from 1 species
GAUGAACGCUGGCGGCGUGCCUAAUACAUGCAAGUCGAGCGAACAGACGAGGAGCUUGCUCCUCUGACGUUAGCGGCGGACGGGUGAGUAACACGUGGAUAACCUACCUAUAAGACUGGGAUAACUUCGGGAAACCGGAGCUAAUACCGGAUAAUAUAUUUAACCGCAUGUUUCAAUAGUGAAAGACGGUUUUGCUUUCACUUAUAGAUGGAUCCGCGUCGCAUUAGCUAGUUGGUAAGGUAACGGCUUACCAAGGCAACGAUGCGUAGCCGACCUGAGAGGGUGAUCGGCCACACUGGAACUGAGACACGGUCCAGACUCCUACGGGAGGCAGCAGUAGGGAAUCUUCCGCAAUGGGCGAAAGCCUGACGGAGCAACGCCGCGUGAGUGAUGAAGGUCUUCGGAUCGUAAAACUCUGUUAUUAGGGAAGAACAAAUGUGUAAGUAACUAUGCACGUCUUGACGGUACCUGAUCAGAAAGCCACGGCUAACUACGUG